rnacentral:tRNA from 1 species
GGAGAGGUGGCCGAGUUGGUUUAAGGCGGCAGUCUCGAAAACUGCUAUACGGGAAACCGUAUCGGGGGUUCGAAUCCCCCCUUCUCCG